AGAAGAUUGGCCAGUUAUACCGGUAGAGCACAUUGGCUUUAUGCUUCAGCCGCAUGGGUUCUUUAACUGCUCGCCUGCAGUUGAUGUUCCUCCAGGAGCCUGCGAGUCUGAUGUGAAAGACACCGAGCAUAAAGAAACCGUUGCUUCCAAGCCUGUUUCAAACGGUUUGAUUGCCAAGUUUUAAUGUAAUCAUCAUCAACAAAGUCGACUUUUUAUCGCCCCUUAUCUUUUUACCAUGUCGUUUAAACCUUUUUAAUUUGUAUGAUUUUAGACGCUAGACUUUGGUUGUGUAAUCAUCAUCAGGCUCCGGUUCAGUUUCAGUUGC